rnacentral:rRNA from 1 species
AGAGUUUGAUUCUGGCUCAGGACGAACGCUGGCGGCGUGCUUAACACAUGCAAGUCGAACGGUGAAGGCCAGCUUGCUGGUUGGAUCAGUGGCGAACGGGUGAGUAACACGUGAGCAACCUGCCCCUGACUCUGGGAUAAGCCUUGGAAACGAGGUCUAAUACCGGAUAUGACUCCUGCACGCAUGUGUGGGGGUGGAAAGAUUUAUUGGUUGGGGAUGGGCUCGCGGCCUAUCAGCUUGUUGGUGGGGUGAUGGCCUACCAAGGCGACGACGGGUAGCCGGCCUGAGAGGGCGACCGGCGACACUGGGACUGAGACACGGCCCAGACUCCUACGGGAGGCAGCAGUGGGGAAUAUUGCACAAUGGGCGAAAGCCUGAUGCAGCGACGCCGCGUGAGGGAUGACGGCCUUCGGGUUGUAAACCUCUUUCAGCAGGGAAGAAGCGCAAGUGACGGUACCUGCAGAAGAAGCGCCGGCUAACUACGUGCCAGCAGCCGCGGUGAUACGUAGGGCGCAAGCGUUGUCCGGAAUUAUUGGGCGUAAAGAGCUCGUAGGCGGUUAGUCGCGUCUGCUGUGAAAACUCGAGGCUCAACCUCGGGCUUGCAGUGGGUACGGGCUGACUAGAGUGCGGUAGGGGUGACUGGAAUUCCUGGUGUAGCGGUGGAAUGCGCAGAUAUCAGGAGGAACACCGAUGGCGAAGGCAGGUCACUGGGCCGCAACUGACGCUGAGGAGCGAAAGCAUGGGGAGCGAACAGGAUUAGAUACCCUGGUAGUCCAUGCCGUAAACGUUGGGCACUAGGUGUGGGGUCCAUUCCACGGAUUCCGUGCCGCAGCUAACGCAUUAAGUGCCCCGCCUGGGGAGUACGGCCGCAAGGCUAAAACUCAAAGAAAUUGACGGGGGCCCGCACAAGCGGCGGAGCAUGCGGAUUAAUUCGAUGCAACGCGAAGAACCUUACCAAGGCUUGACAUACACCGGAAAAGUGCAGAGAUGUGCUCCCCGUAAGGUCGGUGUACAGGUGGUGCAUGGUUGUCGUCAGCUCGUGUCGUGAGAUGUUGGGUUAAGUCCCGCAACGAGCGCAACCCUU